AUUGAACGCUGGCGGCAUGCCUAACACAUGCAAGUCGAACGCGAAAGAGGGGCAACUCUCGAGUAGAGUGGCGGACGGGUGAGUAAUACGUAGGAAUCUGCCCUAAAGUGGGGGAUAACCACGCGAAAGCGUGGGCUAAUACCGCAUAAUCUCUUCGGAGAAAGCAGGGGACCGCAAGGCCCUGCGCUUUUGGAUGAGCCUACGUCGGAUUAGCUAGUUGGUAGGGUAAAGCCUACCAAGGCGACGAUCCGUAGCUGGUCUGAGAGGACGAUCAGCCACACUGGAACUGAGACACGGUCCAGACUCCUACGGGAGGCAG
rnacentral:rRNA from 1 species